rnacentral:rRNA from 1 species
CUACGGGGGGCUCCAGUGAGGAAUAUUGCACAAUGGAGGAAACUCUGAUGCAGCAACGCCGCGUGGAGGAUGACACUUUUCGGAGCGUAAACUCCUUUUAUAUAGGAAGAAGAUGACGGUACUAUAUGGAUAAGCGCCGGCUAACUCCGUGCCAGCAGCCGCGGUAAUACGGAGGGCGCAAGCGUUACUCGGAAUCACUGGGCGUAAAGAGCGUGUAGGCGGAUUAAAAAGUCAGAAGUGAAAUCCUAUAGCUUAACUAUAGAACUGCUUCUGAAACUCUUAAUCUAGAAUAUGGGAGAGGUAGAUGGAAUUUCUGGUGUAGGGGUAAAAUCCGUAGAGAUCAGAAGGAAUACCGAUUGCGAAGGCGAUCUACUAGAACAUUAUUGACGCUGAGACGCGAAAGCGUGGGGAGCAAACAGGAUUAGAUACCCCAGUAGUC